UACGUAGGUGGCAAGCGUUAUCCGGAAUUAUUGGGCGUAAGAGCGCGCAGGUGGUUAAUUAAGUCUGAUGUGAAAGCCCACGGCUUAACCGUGGAGGGUCAUUGGAAACUGGUUGACUUGAGUGCAGAAGAGGGAGGUGGAAUUCCAUGUGUAGCGGUGAAAUGCGUAGAGAUAUGGAGGAACACCAGUGGCGAAGGCGGCUUCCUGGUCUGCAACUGACACUGAGGCGCGAAAGCGUGGGGAGCAAACAGG
rnacentral:rRNA from 1 species